rnacentral:rRNA from 1 species
CCGUAGGUGAACCUGCGGAGGGAUCAUUACACAAUAAAAUAUGAAGGCCUGGCUUCGCGGCCGGCUGAAAUAUUUUUUCACCCAUGUCUUUUGCGCACUUGUUGUUUCCUGGGCGGGUUCGCCCGCCACCAGGACCAAACCAUAAACCUUUUUCUUAUGCAGUUUCCAUCAGCGUCAGUAAAAACAAUGUAAUAAUUACAACUUUCAACAACGGAUCUCUUGGUUCUGGCAUCGAUGAAGAACGCAGCGAAAUGCGAUACGUAGUGUGAAUUGCAGAAUUCAGUGAAUCAUCGAAUCUUUGAACGCACAUUGCGCCCUUUGGUAUUCCAAAGGGCAUGCCUGUUCGAGCGUCAUUUGUACCUUCAAGCUUUGCUUGGUGUUGGGCGUUUUUGUCUCCCUCUUUCUGGGAGACUCGCCUUAAAACGAUUGGCAGCCGGCCUACUGGUUUCGGAGCGCAGCACAUUUUUUGCGCUUUGUAUCAGGAGAAAAGGACGGUACUCCAUCAAGACUUUUACAAUUUUAACUUUUGACCUCGGAUCAGGUAGGGAUACCCGCUGAACUUAAGCAUAUCAAAAAGGGGGGGAGAA